CAAGGUUAACUCAAGAGGAUGAUAAAAUCUAGUGUGAUGAGAAAGAUUAUUAUUAUUAUCAGUUGUGUGUAUGUGAAUAUAUGAAAAACAUACCUUCCUCUAAAGACUUACUUGCUAGGAUAUAAUAUCUUUGCUUGGAUUACUGUGCCACCCAAUAUCAUCUGACAUAUCCCCAUGAUUUGAUGGGUUCUGCCGACUGCAUGGAACUUAUCCACUGCUUUUGGUCACUGUUUACACCGCCGGCCG
rnacentral:lncRNA from 1 species